UUUGGGUUUUUGGGACAGAAAAGUGGGAUUUGGGGCACUGAUGGGGUUUUGGGGUGGAAACGUUGGGUUUUUGGGGUGGAAUGUUGGGUUUUGGGGUGGAAAAGUGGGAUUUGGGGCACUGAUGGGGUUUUUGGGGUGGAAAUGUUGGGUUUUGGGUGGAAAUGUUGGGUUUUUGGGGUGGAAAAGUGGGAUUUGGGGAACUGAUGGGGUUUUUGGGGUGGAAACGUCGGGUUUUUGGGGUGGAAAUGUUGGGUUUUUGGGUGGAAACUUUGGGUUUUUGGGGUGGAAAAGUGGGAUUUGGGGCACCGAUGGGGGUUUUGGGGUGGAAACGUUGGGUUUUUGGAUGGAAAUGUUGGGUUUUUGGGGUGGAAAAAUGGUUUUUUGGGGCAUUUUUGGGGUUUUUGGGGCUCACCCCAGCUCCCUGAAGGGCACCUCGAACUCGAGCUCCUCCUUGGUCAAAGCCUCCACCUUCUCUAUGAAGUUCUUGAAGGCUGUCUUCAGUUUGUGCCGCAUCUCCCGCUCCAUCUGCACCCAUAGGGGACCCCAAAAAUCCCAAAGGAUGAACCCCAAAAAUCCCACAAAAGGUGCCCAAAAAAAUCCCCCAAAAAGAGCCUCAAAAAUCCCCCAAAAGAGACCCAAAAAUCCCAAUGGAGGAACCCCAAAAAUCCCCCAAAAAGAAACACAAAAAAACCCAACCUUCCCC
rnacentral:lncRNA from 1 species